GCCAGCAGCCAUGUCACCCUGCAGCUCAGCAGGUGUGAGCCUGGUCAGUAUCUGGAUGGGAGACCUCCUGGGAGGAGCUAAGGUUGCUGCUGGAA
rfam:Lepisosteus oculatus linkage group LG3, whole genome shotgun sequence.